rnacentral:lncRNA from 1 species
UUUAACAUGAAUAGUACAUGAGAAACAUAUAAAAAUUAUGAAAAACUCAAAAAAAGGUUACAAUGGUUGAUGCUUUAAUAACCUUAUUGCAGAGAGGGAAGUGGUGUUGGUUAGGUGGUGGUUUGGGGGGGUGGCUCUUGUAAAUGAAUGGGCCUGAAGACCAGAAAAUGGUUUGGAAAUGAUUGAUAAUGGACACAGAAUGGGAUCAAAGGACAAACAAGAACUUUUAGACAAGUUACAUAAAGGUAAGGAGAUGGAAUUGCAUUGUAACUAAAAGUUGUUUUAUUAUGCAAAUACAGUCCCUCAGGUAAUCUCUUGAAACAGGCUCAGAAGAAUAGACAAAAAGUAUGUCUGUGAUUGGUGAGUACCCCCAGUCUCUUCUCCAGUGUUUAAUCUUUCCAGGUUAUUUAAUGAGAUUCAUAGGGAGGGGAUUUUAAGACAAUUGGAAUUUGUUUAGACAUUUUCUCAGUCAAACAAGGGAACUUCCAUAGAGAGUCCUUUCCAGUUCUUUAGAAAAGAAAGAGAAUCAGAGAGACAGAGAAGUGAGGGAAAGUCAAAGAGAGAGACCUUAAGGCUUCUUCUUUAGAUUAGCUUAUCAAAGCACCAUAUUUGGGGUUAUCUGUUUCUGAGUCCUAACACAGUACAUGAAGUCUCCAGAAUUUAUACAUCUUAUAAUUGCAAGUUUUUAUCUGUUGACAAGCAUAUUCCCAAUUCACCUUUUCCUAACCCCUGGUAACAACCCUUCUACUCUCCGUUUCUAUGAAUUUGACUUUUUAUAUUUCACAUAAGUGGGAUCAUCAAGUAUUUGUCUUUCUGUGUCUGGUCUAUUUACCCAGGAUAGUGUUCCCCAGGUUCAUCCAUGUUGUUGUCACAAAUAGCAGGAUUUCCUCCUUUUAAAGUCUGAUUAAUAUUCUAUUAUAUUGGUAGUAUUUCUUCAAUGAUAUUCCGAUUGGAUAAUCUAUCCAUUGUUGAUUAUAUUUUAUAUAACAUAUUAUAAUUUAAUAUAUAGUUUAUACUUUUAUCAAUUUAUCGUUGACAGACACUUUUUUAAUAUCUUGGCUAUUGUUAAUGAUAUGGUAAUUAAACAUGGGAGUGCAGAUAGUGAUUUUAAUUCCUUUGGAUAUAUGCCCAGAAAUGGGAUUGCUGGAUCAAAUGUAUGAGAUAAUAUGGUGGUUUUAUUUUUAAUUUUUUGAGAAACUUUCAUAUUAUUUUUCAUAAUGUCUGUUCCAAUUUACAUUUCUACCACCAAUGUAUAAUGAUUCACUUUUUUACACAUUCUCACCAACAUUGCUAUCUUUUGACAUUUUUAUAAUAGCUACCAUAACAGGUGUGAGGAUCUAUCUCAUGGUUUUGAUUUGCAAUUUCCUAAUGAUUAAUUACGUUCAAUACCAUUUUAUAUACCUGUUGGCCAUUUGUAUAUUUUUUAAGAAAAAUUCUGCUCAAGUAUUUUACCCAUUUUUUUUAACUAGGUUGUUAGUUCUUUUGCUAUUAAGUUGUAUGAGUUCCUUAAAUAUUUUGGAUAUUAACCCAUAUCAGACACAUAGUUUGACAAUAUUUUUUUUCCAUUCUGCAGGUUGUCUUUUCAUUUUGCUGAGUGUUUCUUUGAUAGUUUAGAAGCAUUUUAGUUUGAUGUAGUCCCAGUUCUCUGUUUUGCAUUUGUUUCCUGUGCUUUUGGUUUCAUAUCCAAUAUAUUAUUGUGCAGACCAAGUUCAUGGAAUUUUCCUGUUUCCUUCUAGAAGUUUUAAGGUUGUAGAUCUUAGGUUAAAGUCUUAAAUGCGCUUUGAGUUUUUUAUUGCUAUGAUUUUUCCCUGUUAGAACUGCUUUUGCUGUACCCCGAAAGUUUUGAUGUGUUGUGUUUUCAUUUUCAUUUGUCUCAAGACAUUUUUUAGUUCCUUUUUGAUUUCUUGUUUGAAAGUUCAAGAGUGUCUUGUUGAAUUUCUAAAUAAAUUGUAAAAUUUCUGCUUUUUCUCCUGUUACUGAUCUCCAGUUUUAUAACAUUGUUGCGAUAAAAGAUGCUAGAUAUGAUGAUUUUAAUCUUCUUAAUUUUGUUAAAAUUUGUUUUCUACCCUAGCAUAUGAUCUAUCCAAGAUAAUGUUACAUGUGUCAAGAAGAAUGCAUAUUUUGCUGUUGUUGAUUGGAAUGUUCUAUAUAUGUCUGUUACAUCUGUUGGUCAAAAGUAUAGUUAAAUUUCAACAUUUCUUCAUUGAUUUUCUGUUUGGAUAAUCUAUCCAUUGUUGAAGGUGGAGUAUUUAAGUCCGCUACUAUUAUCAUAUUUAUUUAUAUUAGACUAUGGAAAUUAUGUUAGACAAAAAGCAAAUUUGAACAAUUUUCUUAUUUGAGUUCAAAAUGAGUUCCAAAGCAACAGAGACAACUUGCAACAUCAACAAUGCAUUUGGCUGAGGAACUGCUAAUGAACAGAGAGUGCAGUGGUGGUUCAACAAGUUUUGCAAAGGAGGGGAGAGCCUUGAAGAUGAGGAGCAUAGUGGCUGGCCAUUGGAAGCUGACAACAACAUAUUGAGAACAAUCAUCAAAGCCGAUCCUCAUCCAACUACAUAAGAAAUUGUCAAAGAACUCAAUGUCAACCAUUCUAUGGUCAUUCAGCAUUUGAUGCAAAUUGGAAAGGUGAAAAACUUUGAUAAGUGCAUGCCUCAUGAGCUGAGCAAAAAUUUUAAAAAUCAUCGUUCUGAAGUGUCAUCUUCUCUUAUUUUAUGCAACAACAAUGAACGAUUUCUUGAUCUGAUUGUGACAUGCAACAAAAAGUGGAUUUUUAUACAAUGACCAGCUCAGUGGCUGGACUGAGAGGCAGCUCCGAAGCACUUCCCAAAGCCAAAUUUGCACCAAAAAAAGGUCAUGGUCACUGUUUGGUGGUCUGCUGCCAGUCUGAUUCACUGCAGCUUUCUGAAUCCCAGCAAUACCAUUACAUCUGAGAAGUAUGCUCAGCAAAUCAAUGAGAUGCACUGAAAACGGCAAUGCCUGCAGUUGGCAUUGGUCAACAGAAAGGGCAUAAUUCUUCUCCAUGACAACGCCCGACUGCAUGUGUCAGUACCUCACCUCUCACCAACUGACUACCGCUUCUUUAAGCAUCUCGACAACUUUUUGUAGGGAAAUGCUUCCACAACCAUCAGGAUGCAGAAAAUGCUUUCCAAGAGUUCGUCAAAUCCUGAAGCAUGAAUUUUUACACUACGGGAAUAAGCAAACUUGUUUCUCAUUGGCAAAAAUGUGUAGAUUGUAAUGGUUCCUAUUUUGAUGAAUAAAGAUGUUAGAGCCUAGUUAUAAUGAUUUAAAAUUCACAGUCGAAAACCACAAUUAUUUUUCCACCAAUUUCUUCCUUUAGAUACAUUAAUAUUUGCUUAUGUAUUUAGAUUAUUUUAUAUUGAGUGCAUACAUAUUUACAAUUGUUAUAUCCUCUUAAUAAAUUGACAUUUUUAUGAUUAUAUAAUGAUCUUUUUGUCUCUUGUCCUUACUGCAAUUGACUUAAAAUCUAUUUUGUCUAAUAUAAAUAUAACUCCACAUAUUAUAUUUUGUUUUCUAUUUGCAUGGAAUAUUUUCCAUCCCUUUACUUUCAGUCCGCAGAUGGGAUUAAAGCUGAAUUGAGUCUUGCAGACAGCAUAUAUUUAGAUUUUUUU